rnacentral:rRNA from 1 species
AUUGAACGCUGGCGGCAGGCCUAACACAUGCAAGUCGAGCGGAGCGGCGGACGGGUGAGUAAUGCCUAGGUAUCUGCCUGGUAGUGGGGGAUAACGUCCGGAAACGGGCGCUAAUACCGCAUACUAUCAGAUGAGCCUAGGUCGGAUUAGCUAGUUGGUGGGUUAAAGGCCUACCAAGGCAACGACCCGUAACUUGUCUGAGAGGAUGAACAGUCACACGGGAACUGGGACACGGUCCAUACUCCUACGGAAGGCAGCAGUGGGGAAUAUUGGACAAUGGGCGAAAUCCUGAUCCAGCCAUGCCGCGUGUGUGAAGAAGGUCUGCGGAUUGUAAAGCACUUUAAGUUGGGAGGCGUUACCAACAGAAUAAGCACCGGCUAACUUCGUGCCAGCAGCCGCGGUAAUAC